rnacentral:rRNA from 1 species
CGGAGCAGCGCCGCGUGCAGGAGGAAGGCCUUCGGGUUGUAAACUGCUUUUAACGGGGACGAUUUUGACGGUACCCGUAGAAUAAGGAUCGGCUAAUUCCGUGC